GUCUACGGCCAUGCCACCCUGAACGCGCCCGAUCUCGUCUGAUCUCGGAAGCUAAGCAGGGUCGGUCCUGGUUAGUACUUGGAUGGGAGACGAAAGAAAGAAGAAAGAAGGAAAGAAA
rfam:Pongo abelii chromosome 21, whole genome shotgun sequence.